UUCGAAAUCAUGGGCGGAAACAAACAGAUUUGAGGACAUGUUUCACGUGAUAAAUAAUGCACAAUUACCGGUCUAGCAUUCAAGCCGUCCGCCGCUGCCUUGGGAAACCGUGGUCAGUGGAUCUUCUCCUGUGCUGUGUCGAGAAGAGCUUUCAAAACAGAGAGCCCACGACAGAGCUGUCACCCGGAGCCUAUACUAGUGUUGGAUAAUAAUGACGACAGAACCCCGACAAGGACCCAACACACCUCUAAGCUGUGUAUGGGCUAUUUGACCAAGAAGGAGAGUGAUGGAGUGCUGCAUCAGAUGGCCUCCGCAAUCACCCGACCUGGCCUCCGCAAUCACCCGACCUCAACCCAAUUGAGAUGGUUUGGGAUGAUUUGGAUGCAGAGUGAAGGAAAAGCAAGUGCUCAGCGUAUGUGGGAACUCCUUCAAGGCUGUUGGAAAAGAAUUCCAGGUGAAGCUGGUUGAGAGAAUGCCAAGAGUGUGCAAAGCUGUUAUCAAGGCAAAGGGUGGCUACUUUGAAGAAUCUCAAAUAUAAAAAAUAUUUGGAUUUGUUUAACACUUUUUUGGUUGCAAUGUGAUUCCAUGUGUUAUUUCAUAUAUUUGAUGUCUUCACUAUUAUUUUACGAUGUAGAAAAUAGUAAAAAUAAAUUAAAACCUUGGAAUGAGUAGGUGUGGCCAAACUUUUGACUGGUAGUGUAUAUGGUUAAUUAUCAGAGAUAUACUGUAGGUGUUGCCUCAUGGUGAAUGUAGGGGUGAAGUAUCGAUCGUUUUCAAAAAGCAUCCUCAAUACAAUUAAAACCUUGUUUCCCCCAUUACUGCUGCCAUGGAAGCAAACUCAAAUCACAGGCUUCCGAAUGUCAUCAUCGCAGCACUAUAAAUGUUAAUUGCGGAAAAGCAUGAAAAACCCACAGUUCCAGUUGGUGAGAACAUGCUGCAUAAAUCUCCCUCGCCUUUGUCUCUAAGAUGGUGGAAGCAAUGACCAGGGUGAUUUACUCUGACUCUUCCUGCCUGUGUCAUUAUUCUCACAAUGGGUCCCAAACAAUCUCACCUCAUCCCGCCGGCGGCCAUAACUUU